rnacentral:rRNA from 1 species
ACGAGACGCUAAGGCGUUGAAGCAGUGUACGUCAGACUUCCAAGAAAAGCUCGCAAUGUCAUAAAUAAAAAUUGCCUGUACCAUAACCGACACAGGUGGGUAGGUAGAGUAUACUAAGGGGCGCGAGAUAACUCUCUCUAAGGAACUCGGCAAAAUGACUCCGUAACUUCGGGAGAAGGAGUGCCUUAUUUAUAAGGUUGCAAUAACAAGAUCCAAGCAACUGUUUAUCAAAAACACAGGUCUCCGCUAAGUCGUAAGACGAUGUAUGGGGGCUGACGCCUGCCCAGUGCCAGAAGGUUAAAGAAGUUGGUUAGUGUAUGCGAAGCUGAUGACUGAAGCCCUGGUGAACGGCGGCCGUAACAAUAACGGUCCUAAGGUAGCGAAAUUCCUUGUCGGGUAAGUUCCGACCCGCACGAAAGGCGUAAUGAUUUGGAUACUGUCUCGGAGAGAGGCUCGGUGAAAUAGACUUGUCUGUGAAGAUGCGGACUACCUGCACCAGGACAGAAAGACCCUAUGAAGCUUUACUGUAACUUGAAAUUGGAAUUGGACUUUGCUUGCGCAGUAUAGGUGGGAAGCGUUGAAGAUAUUCUUGCGGGAGUAUUGGAGCUAUCAGUGAGAUACCACUCUUGUAAUGUUAGAUUUCUAACUUUGAACCAUAAUCUGGUCAAAGAACAGUUUCAGGUGGGCAGUUUGACUGGGGCGGUCGCCUCCCAAAUGGUAACGGAGGCGUACAAAGGUUUCCUCUGAACGGAUAGAAAUCGUAUCUAGAGUGUAAAGGCAUAAGGAAGCUUGACUGUGAGACCUACAAGUCGAGCAGGGACGAAAGUCGGUCUUAGUGAUCUGACGGUACUGAGUGGAAAGGCCGUCACUCAACGGAUAAAAGUUACUCUAAGGAUAACAGGCUGAUCUCCCCCAAGAGUUCACAUCGACGGGGAGGUUUGGCACCUCGACGUCGGCUCAUCGCAUCCUGGGGCGGUAGUACGUCCCAAGGGUUGGGCUGUUCCCCAUGAAAGCGGUAUGCGAGCUGGGUUCAGAACGUCGUGAGACAGUUCGGUCCAUAUCCGGUGUAGGCGUUAGAAUAUUGAGAGGAGCCUUCUUUAGUACGAGAGGACCGAGAAGGACACACCGCUGGUGUACCAGUUAUCGUGCCAACGGUAAACGCUGGGUAGCUAUGUGUGGAGUGGAUAACCGCUGAAAGCAUCUAAGUGGGAAGCCCACCUCAAGAUGAGUAUUCUCAUC